rnacentral:rRNA from 1 species
CCUACGGGAGGCAGCAGUGAGGAAUAUUGGUCAAUGGGCGGAAGCCUGAACCAGCCAAGUAGCGUGUAGGAUGACGGCGCUACGGGUUGUAAACUGCUUUUAUACGGGAAUAACGCGCCUUACGUGUAGGGAUGUGCGUGUACCGUAUGAAUAAGGAACGGCUAAUUCCGUGCCAGCAGCCGCGGUAAUACGGAAGGUCCGGGCGUUAUCCGGAUUUAUUGGGGUUAAAGGGAGCGUAGGCCGCAUGGAAAGCGUGCUGUGAAAUGUCCGGGCUCAACCCGGGCCUUGCAGCGCGAACUGGCGUGCUUGAGUCGGCGAGAAGCAGGCGGAAUGCGCCGUGUAGCGGUGAAAUGCUUAGAUAUGGCGAAGAACCCCGAUUGCGAAGGCAGCUUGCUGCAGCCGAACUGACGCUGAGGCUCGAAAGCGCGGGUAUCGAACAGGAUUAGAUACCCCAGUAGUC